GGAGACAGGUGCUGCAUGGCUGUCGUCAGCUCGUGUCGUGAGAUGUAGGGUUAAGUCCCGCAACGAGCGCAACCCUUGUCUUUAAUUGCCAUCAUUGAGUUGGGCACUUUAAAGAGACUGCCGGUGUUAAACCGGAGGAAGGUGGGGAUGACGUCAAGUCCUCAUGGCCUUUAUGACCAGGGCUACACACGUACUACAAUGGCCGGUACAAAGGGCAGCGACACAGCGAUGUGAAGCGAAUCCCGAAAAGCCGGUCUCAGUCCGGAUUGGAGUCUGCAACUCGACUCCAUGAAGUUGGAAUCGCUAGUAAUCGCGGAUCAGCACGCCGCGGUGAAUACGUUCCCGGGCCUU
rnacentral:rRNA from 1 species